GUCAAGAUUCCAGUAGCAAGAGUGCAUCAGAUCUCUGUAAGGAAAAUAACUAACAUUGCUCAGUUCCCUGUAGAGUUGCAGGGCGCUUUGACGUUAUCUCCCUUGGUUCUCCAUCAGGUCGUAGUGGACUAAUUUUACAGGCGAAGUUAAGUGACUUACCCAAAACCUCACAGCUAAUAAACGGCAGAGCCGGCACCCAGCUGUACUGGCUUCCAGCGCAUCCCAUUAUCUCCAUAAAUCCCCCUGAUUCAACUAAUAUUAGACGCCCCACAGGUAAGAUGCUUCAGAGUUAGAGGGGAGUUGAAGAUACCUUUGCCUUCAAAGAAGUAAGGAAUGAAACAAAGAUAAAACAGACAAUAAAAGACAAACCAUGAUAGGUGCCACGUGAAAAGUGGCAGAGUACUGCCGGGAAUCAAAGAACCGUGUAUAUCUGUCUUGGGGAUAAGGAAAGAAACGCAGCAUGAAGGAGUAGGCAUUUGGGAUUGACCUUGAAGGAGACAGGGAGAGUUUUACAGCAAGAAGGGAUAGCAUGAGAAUAUAUAUGAAGGCGAAUCAGUGAAAGUUGUGUUGGGGAAAGAGCAAAGACUCCAGAGUCUCGCUGCUCAAAACGUGGUCAGUGGCCCAGCAGCACUGACAUGAGGACCUUAGUUGGAAACUCAGAAUCUCAGGCUCCACCCCAGACCUGCUGAACCAGCAUCUUCAACUUAACAAGAACCCGAAGAGAUUUGUGCCACAUCAAAAAGUUUGAGAAGCUCUGAUCUAGCUGGACCCUGGACACGGUGACUCUGAUUCAAUUAUGCAGAUGACCACAAGCCUCUGGGGUUGGCAGAGCCACAAGAAAGAAGGUGCCUGGAUGAAGGAGAGCUACCCACUGACCUGGACACCCAAUUAUAGGAUAGACAGUGAAGUGCAACUACAGCCCGCAAAUGAAAAUGAAUAAAAUUAAUCCAGCCCCUCAAGGCAGUCAUCUGUCUUAGAGCUAUUGGAAUCCUGGAUCAUUGUGGGAAAUGAAAAGAACUGGUUUUUAGCAAGGAGACCAAGAAACUCUACUCCCUAGGGGCUAGCAAUGAGAGAAAGGAAGCCUUGAGUCUUUGAGCACAGGGUGACAGUUUGGGUCCUAUGUGAGAUGAUCAAAUCCACAGCAACAGAGGAAAGGACAAAAGGAAAAGAUACUUCGAUGGAAUCAGCAGCCAUUGAUCCAAUGCCAACUCCAAGACUGGAACGUCGCAAUGAUAGUUCCAAGGCGGAAAUUUGACGUAAUUCUUUUCGACACAGUUUUACAGGUCUGGAUGCCCAUUUUAAUUCUUCUGAAAGCAUGCCUCCUUCUGGCUUCAGGACUCCAUCUCCAGCCUUAUGAUCUAAAAAUAAUCCCCAAACCAAAAAAUUAGAUAUUAUUUCCUCAAAAUUAGGUGUUUUAAUCAAAACAUCUUAACAUAAAUACAUUAUUAUCACCCAAUAUGC
ensembl:lncRNA novel transcript